rnacentral:lncRNA from 1 species
UUGGAGAAAGCCCAAUGCUGGAGAUCACGGACAGCUGCCUCUGAAACCUCUCCUUUUUACCUUGCAAACAUUAAAGCCUAUACUUCACGAAAAUAUUUCUGGUCUUGCAAAACAUGUGGAGGCACUUGCUAUUUUAAAUCUUUGCCUACAACAAGAGUGUAAGGUGAUUACCCAAAUGGAAUACCUCUGUCUCUCAGGACACAGAGAAUUUCUUCAUAUCACAAAGGGUGAGACACACAGACAAGAGUGCUGCUGUGUUGGUACAAUCAGUGUCGC